GGCUCUGUGUGUGUGUGUGUGUGUGUGUGUGUGUGUGUGUGUGUGUGUGUCCGGGCGUGAGCACACGUCCACGCCCGCACACUC
rnacentral:miRNA from 1 species